AAGUCGUAACAAGGUAACCGUAUGUGAACCUGCGGUUGGAUCAUUAAAAAUUGAAACAGCCUCUCACUGGCUAGAUCGACAUUCACAACAGCACGUUCGUUUGUUCAUUUGUUCAUUCGUUCGUGUGUCUCUGUGGUGACUUUAGCAGUGAACGUUGGCACCACAUUUUGUGCACUGUAACGUCUUUGGUGGUUGGGCGGGUUUGUUCUUUUGUGACACUCUCGUCUGUCAGCUUGGAUUUUAUCCGAAUCCUCGCCGUGGACACGCCACCGUUUGUUUUUCAACUUCUGUCUUCAUAAAUUGUCUGACAUUUAUUUGUAUUGAAAAUAUACAAACAACUUUUGGCAACGGAUCUCUUGGUUCUC
rnacentral:misc_RNA from 1 species